UACAGAGGGGGCAAGCGUUGUUCGGAAUUACUGGGCGUAAAGGGCGCGUAGGCGGCCCGCUAAGUCGAACGUGAAAUCCCCGGGCUCAACCCGGGAACUGCGUCCGAUACUGGCGGGCUUGAAUCCGGGAGAGGGAUGCGGAAUUCCAGGUGUAGCGGUGAAAUGCGUAGAUAUCUGGAGGAACACCGGUGGCGAAGGCGGCAUCCUGGACCGGCAUUGACGCUGAGGCGCGAAAGCCAGGGGAGCAAACGGG
rnacentral:rRNA from 1 species